UAGAAAGAAGCUCGCUGGAUAGAGUAUUUAGCUGUUAACUAAAUUUUUACGGGAUCAAGGCUCGUCUUUCUAG
rnacentral:tRNA from 1 species